GUCCUGCUUGAGCGCCAAUUCUGUUUGCCCCUUCCUUAGAAGCACACCUUUUCAUUUGGCUGUUGUCUUCCAUGCUUAGUUAAGUUUAAUGCAAGCACAUUGAACAUUUUGAUGGCUAAACCCGGCAGUUGUUAGUAUAAAAACCUUUGCGUCAAGCUGAUCUCUUUUGGCGUCAUCAAGCAAGGGAGUGUAGUGCUCCAAUUCAGCAAAUCAAAAUGGACUCCAAUAUUUCCAGCAAAUGUAGCAAGCUUGUGGUCGCUGCCAUUGACAUCGGGACCGCAUAUUCCGGAUAUGCAUUCUCUUUCCAAAGUACAUGGAAUAAAGUAAUGACACCCUUUUGGCAAGUAAGACAGUCAAUUACUAAUAAGACUCCUACAUGUCUGCUCCUGAGAAAGGACUACUCGGUAGUUUUGUUUGGAUAUGAAGCUGAAGACGAAUAUUCAUAUAUAAAAGAGGAUAACAAGCAUGAAGACUAUUAUUUUUUUCAAGGGUUUAAAGUGAUUCUUCAUGAGGAAUCUGUAAAUCGGCAUAUGUUAUGCCAGGCACAUGACGGCAGAAGUCUGGAGGCUAGUGUGGUUUUUAUGCACUGCAUCAGAUACCUAAAAAGUCACUUCUAUGCAAAACUACAGACCGCGUGUAUAGACAUAAAGGACGAUGACAUUCAGUAUGUGUUGACUGUGCCAGCGACAUGGGGAGACAAAGCCAAGGUGUUCAUGAGGGAAGCUGCAAUUGAGGUUGGUAAUCGGGCGGUGAAGGACAUGUAUGUAUAUAUACUACUCAAAAUUUAGUUUAUGCUUUUACUACCAUUGCACGAUUUUCACUCAGGCAUCGGUGUCUGAUUCUUUCUAAAAUUUCAAACUCACUUGAGUGUUUACACUACGUUUAUCAACACAAUGCCCCCUCAACGCGUAAGGCGUCGCCUGACGACAGAACAACUGGGCAGAUAUAUUGGAAUGCUUGACGCUGGCUAUUCACAGCGUGACGUUGCAAAUGCAUUAAACGUCAGCAAGAGCGUUGUAAACAGGGCCUGGAACCGACAGCAAACUUUUGGUACAGCAGCACACCGACAUGGGGGUGGUCGUCAGAGGUCGACAACCCAACGUCAAGACCAUUUUGUGGCUCUUCAGGCACGACGCCAUCCCUUCCGGACAGCAACUAGCCUACGUAACGACCUCCUGAACGCCUCGGGGGUGAAUGUGUCCACUCAGACGAUACGGAAUCGGCUUCACAAUGCAGGUCUCAACUCGAGAAGGGCAUGUGUUCGAGUCCUUCUGACUGUUCGACACCGGCGGGAGCGAUUGGACUGGGCUGAAGAUCAUGUCACUUGGACACAGAACGAUUGGGUUCAAGUUCUGUUCACCGAUGAGUCCAAGUAUUGUUUGGACUUUACAGACAGGAGGCACCGAGUGUGGCGACGACAACGUGAACGUUUCCAUGAUGCCAACAUCAGUGAACAUGACCGUUAUGGUGGUGGUUCUAUCAUGGUCUGGGGUGGAAUCAGCAGGGAUGGAAGAACAGAUCUUCAUGUCCUGGAGAGAGGAACAAUGACGGGGUGUGGUACCGGGAUGAGAUCCUCGAUGUUUACGUCAGACCCUACGCUGGUGCUGUUGGCCCUGAGUUCAUCCUGGUGGAUGAUAACGCCCGUCCUCAUCGCGCCAGGGUGGUGGAGCAGUACCUUCAGCAGGAGACAAUUGUCCGUAUGGACCGGCCAGCGCUCUUGCCGGACUUGAACCCGAUUGAGCAUGUAUGGAACAUGCUGCAGGUUGCCCUUUCACGCCGUGGAGCACAACCCACGACUUUGGCAGAGCUCGGAAACGCCCUCGUGGAAGAGUGGAACAACCUUCCCAUUGGAAACAUCCGGGUGCUUAUUGACAGGAUGGCUCGACGUUGUCAAGCCGUCAUUGAUGCAAGGGGAGGCCAUACCCGGUAUUGACACUUCAUCGACUAAGUGUAAUGAUGGACUAUCCCCAAAAACUGUGUAAUUCUUUCUCUGGUUUGCUGUUAACUUUUUGUAAUGAAAUGCCUUUUGGUGUUGUUAUCAGAUUUCAAGCAUUCCGUAUUGAUAAAAGUUCAUGCCGUUCAUGAGUUUUCAUUCAUAACCUGAGUAAACACGUUUCUGAGUAAAAUUGAUGUCUUUUGUUAUGUUAGUGGUAAAUUACACACAUAUAACCUAGUGAUCCUUAUCAAAUUUUGAGUAGUAUAUAUAUCCAAGAACAAAAGCAUUGAAAACAAACUUUAUGAUAGUACCUGCAAUACACUUAGCCGUAAAAAUCUUGAUAUAAAUGUAAAGAGUUUCGUCUCUCUGGACCAGCAUCAUAUACCAAGAUUGAAAUGCAACUCAAGUGAGCUGUUCUGAUCACAUUUUGUCUGGCGUCAGUCCGUCCGUAUACUUUUAACAUUUUCGACGUCUUCUCAAGAACCGCAAGGCUAAUUUCAGCCAAACUUGCCACAAAGCAUGCUUGGGUUUUGUUCAAAUGAAGUGUUGCAUCCUUUUUGAAGUGGAGAUGAUUAAGAAUUAGUAAAUAAUUUUGUGGCAUCGUUAACAUAUCUUCUUCUCGAGAACCAUCAGAUCAAUUUCAAUCAAACUUGGCACAAAUCAUCCUUGAGUGAAUGGGAUUCAAGUUAAUUCAAAUGAAGGGCCAUGCUCAUUUCAAAGGGGAAAUAAUCAAGGAAAUGCAAAAAUAGGGUGGGGUAAUUUAACAAAUCUUCUCAAGAACCACUGGAUCAAAAAUGUUGAAUAUUGCAUAAAAGCUUCCUGACACAGUGUAAAUUUCAGUUUGUUCAAAUCAUGUCUCCCGGGGUAGGAUAGGGCCACAGCAAGGGAUCAAUAUUUACGCGGGGAUAUAUAAGAUAAAUCUUUACAAAUCUUCACAAGAACAAUAGGGUCAUGAUUAAUCAUUGAUAUGCAAACAUCCCCAGGUAGUACAGAUUCAUAUUUGUUCAAAUUGUGGUCCCAGGGGGUAGGAUGAAGUCAUUAUAGGGGAUAACAGUUUUGUAUAGAAAUAUAUAGGGAAAAUCUUCUCAAUAACAAUACUGCCAUGAAUAUUCAUAUUAAUAUGCAAGUAUUCCCAGGUAGUGUAGAUUGAAGUUAAAAUAGUGACUCCGGGGUAGGAUGGGGUCAUAUCUAAGUCUUAUAUGGGAAUAGGGAAACGUUUUUAAAAAUCUUCUCAAGAACAGCAGAUCAAUGAUUAGUCAUAUUGACAUGUAAGCAUUUUCAAGUAGUGUAAGUUUGUUCAAUUCAGGAGCUCCAGGAAUAGGGGGGGGGGGGGGGGCAUAAUAGAAGAUCAAAGUCUGAUAUGGGAUUAUACAUGAAUUAAGGAGGCGAGAUCAAAAGGUCGAUGUCGGAUAAAAAUCUAAAUUCAAAUAGUUAGGGGGAGGGAGGGUAAAAAUUCCAGUAAGUUUCUAUCAUACGACAUAGAUUAAUUUUUUUGUGAAAAAAGAAAAACGACAAAUGACUGUUAAAAACCACAGUAAUAUUACAUUUAAUAGUUUUAAUGUACACUUUCAUUUGUGAACAAACAGUAGAAAGGGUAUACAGAGCGUUAUUUAUACAGGUAUGUUUUUACAUGUUCGAUUAAUUUCAACAUUAAUUCCAGAUGCAGAAAUGAACGUGACAAAUAGUAUAAAUUACAAAACUUUAAUGAAAAACAUGAAUAUUACAAUUUUUUGUGGCGAUUAUGUGUCACAAUCCACUUAUAUAAUCUAUAAGUUCCCCAGGCGGAAACCAGAGAAUCAACAAGUGUCUCCAUCAACUGGCAAAAGGCGCACCCACGGGUGACCGUGAUGAGCGAGACCUCCUGGUACCAUAACAAGAGAGAAUACCACAUGUGAAAAGGAAAUCAAGUAUUGGCUCAGGUCCUCACUAUCCUGCCUCCCCGGGUACCAUAUACAGGGAUAAGCCCAAAAAUUGCCCUUGGUACCACAAGGGUCAAGCCGGCCCCUAAGGUAAACUCCCCCCAGUAAUGAGGAUGGAAUACAGAGUUUAGAGCCAGACAUUUAAGCGAGAUUCUGAUUCGUGGUAAUUCCCGAGUUCCGCCUACCCCCUUCCCAGAUUGUGACUUCAGAACAAAUUAAAAUCUUUACCAAAAUCCCCACUGUCAAUGUUAAACACAUAAUGCAAUUAGCAAAUGAUCCGGGUUAGAAUAGGUCCUCAGUACCCCUUGCUUGUCGUAGGAGGUAACUAAAUGGGGCAGUCCUUCGGAUGAGACCGCAAAAACCGAGGCCCCGUGUCACAGCAGGUGUGGCACGAUAAAGAUCCCUCCCUGCUCAAAGGCCGUAAGCGCCGAGCAUAAGCCUAAAUUUUGCAGCCCUUCACCGGCAGUGGUGACGUCUCCAUAUGAGUGAAAUAUUCUCGAGAGGGACGUUAAACAAUAUUUAAUCAAUCAAUCACAAGUUUAUGGCGUCCUCCUUGAUCAAGCGUGAAACCGUCAAUGAUUGAAUCGGGUUCGGUUCAGGCUUUGAUUGCACAGGCAAUGCGCUUUAUAUUCUUAGUCUUAAAUACGUUUGCGGCUAAAGCUUUAAGGUUAACAAGGCUGCAAGAGUUACCGCGCCUGCCCCAGAAUUAAAUACAAUUGUUGAUAAAUGCCAUUAAUUUCAACAUUCAUCAUAUUUAGUUUUAGGGGGGUUUUGGUGAAAACUAUGUGAAUUUAGUUUUUUUUUUAUUUUUUGCGUUAUAAAGCAUAACUUUCGUGUUAUAACGCGAAGCUUUUGCGAAUUAACGCGUAACUUUCGCGAAUAAAUGCGUAGCUUCGCGUUAUAACGCGAAAAUCAUCCAUUAUAACGCGAAACGUUUACGUUUACGUUUGCUUACAAACACGAAUUUAUGGAUUGAAUGCGUAUGAAGUCAUUUGUUCAUUACAAUAAAGAAAAAUAACGAUAGACUUGUCCAGCUGUAGAUUGUAAUUUUGUAUAUAUAUGUAUAUCUCUUGUCUUGAUAUAAUUUGACUGUUUUAAGAAGAUCAUCUUAUUGACCUUUGAUUCUGUUGUUUAUAAUUUAUGAUACAAGUAGUUGAGACUUGGAACUAGUUCAAAUGUUGUAAUUUAUUAAUUUGGUUGAUAUAUUUUUUUCCAAACAGAACACCGAUUCUACAAAAAAGUUUGAAUUUAUUAACACGAAAUUUUGCAUAAAAAUUCAGUAUUUUUGUCAAUAAAUCAAUAAAUCUCUAACCCUCACUUUUUUAUUUCCAAGACAUUGACAAUUAUGUGAAAUUUUAGAAAAUGACAUUACUCCUACAUUGUAAUAUGUCCUUUUAAACUCUCAAAAUUCAUAUCGUGAAUUUUUUCGUAUUUCAAGUGCAAAAAGGUCGUCAUUAUUUAUUUCCAUUACUAGUAUUAAACUUUUUUUUAUCUGUAUUGUUUCCAUGACUAAAGUCGGGGGUGUUAUUGUUUUGUCCUGCCUGUCUGAAACUUAAAUCAUGCUCAUAACUUUUGAAUGGUGAGUGAUAGGGCUCUCAAUUUUCAUAUUUUUAUUCCUUGGGUCAAGACCUUUCUUUUCGUAUCAAAGUUUUUUGACCUUGUGACCUUGACCUUUGAGUUUGACCUACUUUUAAGAAAGCCAUAUCUAGACAAUAUCCCUGAACUAUUUAAGGUAGGGUUUUUUACUUAGUGUAAAGAUUCCUUAUGGCAAGGAAUAUCAUUUGAUGCCAUGGUGUUUGACCAUGUGACCUUGAAGUUUGACCCAAAUUAGAAUUUUUACCAAAACUUUAACCUUCCUCAUGAUUUUGAAUGGCGAGUAAUACAUUUUUCAUGUUUGCGUUCCUUGUGACAAGACCUUUCUUUUGGUACCAAAAUCUUUGACCUUGUAACAUUGACCCUGGAUUUUGAUCUACUUCUAAGAACAUUUAACCUAGGUAAUAUCUUGUGAAAAGAUCCUUAUGGCAAGACCUUACAUUUCAUACCAUGAUUUUUUUAUCUUGUGACCUUGUUAUAAUGAUUAUAUCGUGACCCUAUGGGGCUAGAUUGGGGUCAUAUUAUGGGUUCAAAAUUUUUCAUGGAAAUGAAGAUUGCAGAAAAAUCUUUUGAAAAUCGUAAUAGCUGAAAAACAGCAGGACCAAGGUGACUCGUGUGAGCGAUGUGGUCCAUGGGCCUCUUGUUGUAUUUUCACAGGCAGGAAUUAAAAACGAGCAUUUGAUCAUAGCGCUGGAACCAGAGGCGGCAUCUAUCUACUGCCAGUACUUGCACAUCGCUAAAGAAGACACGUCAUCUGCGGUUUUGGGAGUCGUCAAACCUGGCACAAAGUUCAUGGUGGUUGACCUCGGGACCCCGUUGAGUUCAAGUGACACAGCGCAUAUAACGGUUCAUCAGAAAAGCGCAGACAGCAAUUCGGAAAAAAUUCUUAUGGCAAGUUGGGGACCAUGGGGAGGAAAAUCUGUGAAUGAUAUGUUCAUGACAUUUUUGACGGAAUUGGUGGGAGAAAGAGUUAUAAAAGAUUUCAAGGAAGAAUGCAUGGAAGGUUAUCUUGAUAUGACGAGAUAUUUUGAGGCAAAGAAAAGAAAAGCAAAUUCCUAUAGGGAUGGAAGUACAUCAAUUCCGAUACCAAUGCCCUUUAUCCACUUAUGCGAAAAACUACACAAUGUCAUAGAUUUCAGAGAGGUUAUUGACAAAAAUGAAUUACACAGAAAUAAUGUGAAAUACACUGCAGGAAAACUUAAAUGGGAAAACAAAUAUUUUAGGGGUUUUUUCAAGAAAACUAUUGACAGCAUUGUCAAACAUAUUGACGAGUUGUUCGAAGAGGACGUUGGUAGAGAUGUAGACAUCAUCGUUAUGGUCGGAGGCCUUUCAGAAUGUCAUCUGGUCCAGGACGCAAUCAAAAAGAACUUCGAGCAGAAAACUGUCAUUGUGCCAGAGGAGGCGGGAUUAGCGGUAGUCAAGGGUGCCGUGUAUCUCGGUCACCUCUCUGAUGACAUCCCGCGUACUACACUUUCAUAAAUUGACACAUCCCCUUGUGACCAAAACCUAAGACCUGAUUUCCCCACAAAAGGAACUAAAUGUACAAUAAACAUAGGAUGGUUUAAUUUGUUGCUAUGACUGACAACUCUUUGAACAAGUGUUGUGUAUUCUGACUAACGUAUGUAAAUAUAAGUGUUGAUUAUUUUAUGAAUUUAAACAAUACUAGUAAGUAUCUACUUUAUCAUUCUUCAUAUAUUUUCUCAAUCGUAUUACACACGUGUGUUUACUGCUGUAGUGACACUUAAAACUUUACGCUUAAACUAAUCCAAAUAUUUAUGACAAUUAUUCAUUAAUAUAGAAGUUCAUUUCUUUUUUCUAAUUCACUUUAGAUUUUGCAAUCGAUCCCAUUGAAAUUAUUUAUUGAUUAAAAGUUACAUGUU